GGGGAUGUAGCUCAGUGGUAGAGCCCAUGCUUUGCAUGUAUGAGGUCCCGGGUUCGGUUCCUGGUAUCUCCA